UCUCCCCGCCCGGCGGCGGAGGCAACGGUCCGCGGGGCCGGCGCGGCUGGGGUGCCUCGCAGGCCGCGGCGGGCAGAUGCCAGAAAGCCUGCCCGGGCCUUCGUCCCCCUAAAUGGAGACUCGGGGAGCGCUCCGAAGCUCCCCGCUCCCGGAGCGCCCGCUCGGGCAGAGCUCGUCCCGCUCGGGUCGCCAGGGUUGACGUCGGGGCCGUGUGCCUCGGUGGUGA